AUACAGCACAAGUCUAUAGUUAAAUGGUCCACAUAAGAAAGUGUUUUUAAUUUUUCAAAAAAUGGCGUGAACACAAAGCACAAAACUAAGGAGCAUUUUCCUUUAAAUUAGAUGGCCAAUUUGUCACUCAAUUUGCUUGCUAUUAAAUACGAUCCUCAUGAGAUCCCCAAUGAUGGCUAUAUUUUUUGCAUUAUGGUUGUACAUCAUCUAGUAAACUCCCUGC
rnacentral:lncRNA from 1 species